UGCAGCAACGCCGCGUGAGGGACGACGGCCUUCGGGUUGUAAACCUCUUUUAGCAGGGAAGAAGCGAAAGUGACGGUACCUGCAGAAAAAGCACCGGCUAACUACGUGCCAGCAGCCGCGGUAAUACGUAGGGUGCAAGCGUUGUCCGGAAUUAUUGGGCGUAAAGAGCUCGUAGGCGGUUUGUCGCGUCUGCUGUGAAAUCCCGAGGCUCAACCUCGGGUCUGCAGUGGGUACGGGCAGACUAGAGUGCGGUAGGGGAGAUUGGAAUUCCUGGUGUAGCGGUGGAAUGCGCAGAUAUCAGGAGGAACACCGAUGGCGAAGGCAGAUCUCUGGGCCGCUACUGACGCUGAGGAGCGAAAGGGUGGGGAGCAAACAGGCUUAGAUACCCUGGUAGUCCACCCCGUAAACGUUGGGCGCUAGAUGUGGGGACCAUUCCACGGUUUCCGUGUCGUAGCUAACGCAUUAAGCGCCCCGCCUGGGGAGUACGGCCGCAAGGCUAAAACUCAAAGGAAUUGACGGGGGCCCGCACAAGCGGCGGAGCAUGCGGAUUAAUUCGAUGCAACGCGAAGAACCUUACCAAGGCUUGACAUAUACGAGAACGGGCCAGAAAUGGUCAACUCUUUGGACA
rnacentral:rRNA from 1 species